rnacentral:rRNA from 1 species
UGAGUUUGAUCAUGGCUCAGAACGAACGCUGGCGGCAGGCUUAACACAUGCAAGUCGAACGGGCGCAGCAAUGCGUCAGUGGCAGACGGGUGAGUAACGCGUGGGAACGUACCUUUCGGUUCGGAAUAACUCAGGGAAACUUGAGCUAAUACCGGAUACGCCCUUUGGGGGAAAGAUUUAUUUGCCGAAAGAUCGGCCCGCGUCCGAUUAGCUAGUUGGUGAGGUAAAGGCUCACCAAGGCGACGAUCGGUAGCUGGUCUGAGAGGAUGAUCAGCCACACUGGGACUGAGACACGGCCCAGACUCCUACGGGAGGCAGCAGUGGGGAAUAUUGGACAAUGGGCGCAAGCCUGAUCCAGCCAUGCCGCGUGAGUGAUGAAGGCCCUAGGGUUGUAAAGCUCUUUCGCCAGGGACGAUAAUGACGGUACCUGGAUAAGAAGCCCCGGCUAACUUCGUGCCAGCAGCCGCGGUAAUACGAAGGGGGCUAGCGUUGUUCGGAAUCACUGGGCGUAAAGCGCACGUAGGCGGAUUGUUAAGUCAGGGGUGAAAUCCCGAGA